rnacentral:rRNA from 1 species
AACGAACGCUGGCGGCGUGGAUUAGGCAUGCAAGUCGAACGCGAAAUGCGGAGGGGGUAACUCUCUGCAAAGUAGAGUGGCGAACGGGUGAGUAACGCGUGAGAAACCUGCCUUCAUCAGGGGGAUAACACUCCUAACGGAGUGCUAAUACCGCAUGAGACCACGGGAUCGCAUGGUCCUGAGGUCAAAGGUGGCCUCUAUUUAUAAGCUACCGGAUGAAGAUGGUCCGCGUCCCAUUAGCUAGUUGGCGGGGUAAUGGCCCACCAAGGCGACGAUGGGUAGCUGGUCUGAGAGGAUGGGUCAGCCACACGUGGGACUGGAGAUACGGCCCAGACUCCGUACGGGAGGCAGCAGUCGAGAGGCUUCGGC